rnacentral:rRNA from 1 species
GACGAACGCUGGCGGCGUGCUUAACACAUGCAAGUCGAACGGUAAGGCCCUUCGGGGUACACGAGUGGCGAACGGGUAAGUAACACGUGGGUGAUCUGCCCUGCACUUCGGGAUAAGCCUGGGAAACUGGGUCUAAUACCGGAUAGGACCACUGCCUGCAUGGGUGGUGGUGGAAAGCUUUUGCGGUGUGGGAUGGGCCCGCGGCCUAUCAGCUUGUUGGUGGGGUGAUGGCCUACCAAGGCGACGACGGGUAGCCGGCCUGAGAGGGUGACCGGCCACACUGGGACUGAGAUACGGCCCUGACUCCUACGGGAGGCAGCAGUGGGGAAUAUUGCACAAUGGGCGCAAGCCUGAUGCAGCGACGCCGCGUGAGGGAUGACGGCCUUCGGGUUGUAAACCUCUUUCAGCACCGACGAAGCGCAAGUGACGGUAGGUGCAGAAGAAGGACCGGCCAACUACGUGCCAGCCGCCGCAGUAA